UACGAAGGAUGCAAGCGUUAUCCGGAUUUAUUGGGUUUAAAGGGUGCGUAGGCGGACUUAUAAGUCAGUGGUGAAAUCUCGUUGCUUAACAACGAACGUGCCAUUGAUACUGUAGGUCUUGAGUACAGAUGCCGUUGGCGGAAUGUGUCAUGUAGCGGUGAAAUGCAUAGAUAUGCCACAGAACACCGAUUGCGAAGGCAGCUGACGAAACUGUAACUGACGCUGAGGCACGAAAGCGUGGGGAUCAAACAGG
rnacentral:rRNA from 1 species